rnacentral:rRNA from 1 species
UACGGGGGGGGUAAGCGUUGUUCGGAAUUACUGGGCGUAAAGGGCUCGUAGGCGGCCAACUAAGUCAGACGUGAAAUCCCUCAGCUUAACUGGGGAACUGCGUCUGAUACUGGAUGGCUUGGAUUCGGGAGAGGAAUGCGGAAUUCCAGGUGUAGCGGUGAAAUGCGUAGAUAUCAGAAGGAACAUCAGUGGCGAAAGCGGCUUCCUGGUCCAGUACCGACGUUCAGGCACGAAAGCGUGGGGAGCAAACAGG